UACAGAGGGGGCAAGCGUUGUUCGGAAUUACUGGGCGUAAAGGGCGCGUAGGCGGCCCGCUAAGUCGAACGUGAAAUCCCCGAGCUCAACUCGGGAACUGCGUCCGAUACUGGUGGGCUUGAAUCCGGGAGAGGGAUGCGGAAUUCCAGGUGUAGCGGUGAAAUGCGUAGAUAUCAGGAGGAACACCGGUGGCGAAGGCGGGUCUCUGGGCCGAUACUGACGCUGAGGAGCGAAAGCGUGGGGAGCGAACAGG
rnacentral:rRNA from 1 species